UACGGGGGGAGCAAGCGUUGUUCGGAUUUACUGGGCGUAAAGGGCGCGUAGGCGGUCAGCACAAGUCAGUUGUGAAAUCUCCGAGCUUAACUCGGAAAGGUCAACUGAUACUGUGCGACUAGAGUGCAGAAGGGGCAACUGGAAUUCUCGGUGUAGCGGUGAAAUGCGUAGAUAUCGAGAGGAACACCUGCGGCGAAGGCGGGUUGCUGGGCUGACACUGACGCUGAGGCGCGAAAGCGUGGGGAGCAAACGGG
rnacentral:rRNA from 1 species